rnacentral:rRNA from 1 species
CCUACGGGAGGCAGCAGUGGGGAAUAUUGGACAAUGGGGGGAACCCUGAUCCAGCCAUGCCGCGUGUGUGAAGAUGGCCCUCGGGUUGUAAAGCACUUUCAGUGAGGAAGAACGCCUGGUGGUUAAUACCCAUCAGGAAAGACAUCACUCACAGAAGAAGCACCGGCUAACUCCGUGCCAGCAGCCGCGGUAAUACGGAGGGUGCGAGCGUUAAUCGGAAUUACUGGGCGUAAAGCGCGCGUAGGUGGCUUGAUAAGCCGGUUGUGAAAGCCCCGGGCUCAACCUGGGAACGGCAUCCGGAACUGUCAAGCUAGAGUGCAGGAGAGGAAGGUAGAAUUCCCGGUGUAGCGGUGAAAUGCGUAGAGAUCGGGAGGAAUACCAGUGGCGAAGGCGGCCUUCUGGACUGACACUGACACUGAGGUGCGAAAGCGUGGGUAGCAAACAGGAUUAGAUACCCUGGUAGUC